CUACGGGCGGCUGCAGUGGGGAAUAUUGCACAAUGGGGGGAACCCUGAUGCAGCAACGCCGCGUGGAGGAUGACGCAUUUCGGUGUGUAAACUCCUUUUAUAUGUCAAGAAAAUGACGGUAGCAUAUGAAUAAGCACCGGCUAACUCCGUGCCAGCAGCCGCGGUAAUACGGGGGGUGCAAGCGUUACUCGGAAUCACUGGGCGUAAAGGACGCGUAGGCGGGUUGGAAAGUCAGGUGUGAAAUCCUACAGCUUAACUGUAGAACUGCACUUGAAACUUCUAAUCUAGAGUAUGGGAGGGGGAGAUGGAAUUAGUGGUGUAGGGGUAAAAUCCGUAGAUAUCACUAGGAAUACCUAAAGCGAAGGCGAUCUCCUGGAACAUUACUGACGCUAAGGCGUGAAAGCGUGGGGAGCAAACAGGAUUAGAUACCCCAGUAGUC
rnacentral:rRNA from 1 species